rnacentral:tRNA from 1 species
GGCGGUGUAGCUCAGUAGGUAGAGCAAACGGCUCAUAUCCGUUGGGUCAGGGGUUCAAAUCCCUUCGCCGCUA